rnacentral:lncRNA from 1 species
CUGAGGCAAGAGACUGGAAAAUUCAUGGUUAGCCUGAGGGACAGAGGAAGUUCAUACCCAAUGCGGUUCAACUUAGCCAGACUUUGUCUCAAAAUAAAAAGAAAGAAAGGGCUUAGUGGGCAGGGAUUUGGGAGAGGUUGGGGUGUGUCUCAGCGUAGCGCAGACUGGGGAGCAGAAGAAGACGUUGGGUCCCCUGAAACUGGGAUUACAAACAGUAGUAAGCCACCGUGUAGUGCUGAGCCAUUUCUCCAGCCCCACAAAUGUUGGCUUUGAGGGAAGCUGACGGGGCUCCCUUCUAUUCCUGCCUAGGAUGUAACUAUGAGGAGAGAGCCUCGGUAGCCAUUUUCAGAGCAGGCUGUGGCCGUGAGGAAGUCACAUGCUGGAGAUGCCGAUGUGAAAACAGGAACCUGGAGCCAGGGAGCUGCCUGAAGCUGCCCACGCUAGACUUCUUCAAUACAAGAGAACAACCUCCUGGCCGUCGACCACUGAAAAGAACCCUGCAGACGGAGCCGCCUUCUCUCAGAUCUGCUGUGAGAUGGAAUCUUUCCCUAGCUUCCUAAGUCAGAUCCACAAGUGUCUUCAUAAAGGAAAAAUCAGAUGCAAUUCUGGUAGCUUGUCGUGCUUCCUGACAGGACAGCUGACAGCUAAAGUAUAUUGGUUUCACAUUAUUAAAUAUUCCUGUUUAUGUAACAUUCCCCCCAUCACCUAAUUUUAGGUAAACCUGGACAUAUUUUUCAUCCAUACAGAGCUCAGUUAUUUAAGAUGUCCUAAUGAGUCACACCACGCUUAUAUUAACUUCUUCCCAGGCAUCAUGCUUUUAAACUUUGUUUAUUUCUAACCGUGCCUUAUGUCCCACACUGUAAGCCAUUCCUCAUACCUCAGCAGACACAUAGUGUUUAAAGCUCCUCUGGGGUUUAACACAGCUAAAUCUUGGAAACAGCCCGCCCAGGCAGACUGAGUAGAAGACCCUUCACUGUGUCUUUAGAAACACUCCCAAAGGUUAUUCCUCUGCAACAAUGUAGCAGCUCGACACAGUGACUUCCGCCAGUAAGCACCUGGGAGGCCGAGGCAAAAGGAUUGCCAAGAACUUGAGAGUAGCUUAGCCUACAUAGUGUGUUCCAGGCCACCCAGAGCUACAGUGAAAGACAAUGUCUAUAAAUAAAUAAAUAAAGCAAGCAAAAUAAACUAUCAGGAGAAAGGGGCCGAGGGUGGAACUCAGUGUCAGAACAGAUGCUUAGUAUUUGCAGGGUCUUGCAUUCCCAGUACCACUUUUUAAAGAACAGAUGUAGCUGGUCUUUGCUACUCUGUGAGUUUUUUUUUUCUCACCCUUUAUCCCACCCCUACCCCCCUUCACUCCCUAUCACUAGAUAAGGAGAGAGGGGAAGGGAAGGGAAAAGAGGGGAAGGGAGGAGGAGAGGGGAGGAAAAGGGAGGGGAAGGGAGGUCCCUGGAUCUAAUUUCUUUCCUUUUGUUUCUUCUUUGACCAUGGCUACUAAUAAACCCCAACCAACCCCCACUGAAAGACCAAAACAACCUCAUGGGGCUCUAGGUAAAAAAUUCCCCACUAUUUCAAACGUCACACAAUCACAGAAACUAUCUGCAGCUGCCAAAUCCACGCCUCUGCUAGAGCACGAGGCAAAUCACUGUCACCUGCCUCGGACAGUCCGGAGCUGCCCCACACCUGGGGUUAAAAUGAAAGCACAUUCUUAUAAUACUUCUGUGGGUUUUUUUUGUUUGUUUGUUUUGUUUUGUUUGUUUUUAUUUUAAAGGAAACAGAAUUCCAGUCACUACAAGCAGAGGUGCAGGGCUAGAGAGGAGAGAGUUGAGAGGUUAAGAGCUCUGCUCUUCUACAGGACCCAGGUUCGAUUCCCAACACCCACAUCAUGGCUCACAGCUGUCCAUAACUUCUGUUCCAGACCUCAGAAGACAUCAAGCAAGCAUGCGUGUGGUGCAGAUCAGGAAACCGGCCUCUGAUCUGGUCCACGCCUUCUACUGGAAACCUAUAUAUGGACAUGGAAGAAGGAAGCUUGUGCCCUGACUGCUGGCUAACCCUCUCCAGAACAAGUCAAUUCCCUCACUGGUAUUAAAACCUGCUUCUUCUGAGGAUUCUGGCAUAUACAGAAGACCGGCUGAGACAUCCAGCCUUGUGCACUGAGCAGUCACUGGAUUCUUGGACUUUCUAUUGGUAGAGAGCCCUUGUUGGAUUGGCUGGACCACAGGCUAUAAGCCAUCCUAAUAAAUCCUCCCCCCUUAUGAAAAAAAAUUCACUCUGUAAGUUCUGUUACUCUAGAGAACCCUAAUACACAUACUCUCGCUGCCCUGGCAAUAAAGGUCAAAGUCUACCAUUAUGCAGAUAGCCUUCUAGGCUCAGCGCAAAAUGGGGAACUUCCUUCACUAGCAGGGCUUCCUCAAACACUUCCCACACUAAUGAGGCAUCCCUGUAUCUUAAGCCUUUAGCCAAGCACCUUUGCUCAUCCUGGGUAUUCUGACUUCCACCCCCCAAAUUAGGUAAUGCUUGAAUCACCC